GCUGCGGCGGGCGGACGGCUGGUGGUGUGCGCCGGCUGGAGGGUGCCCCUGCGGCCCCGGUAAGGAUCGGAAAGGCGGCCAGGAACUCCAGCUCCUUCACAUGUCCACCAGUCCCCUGGGCCAGAGAGAGCACCGAGGCAGGUCUGGAGCUGUGCACAUGCUGACGGCCAGCUAGCCCUAAGAGAGAGGACCGCAGCCAAGCUCUGUGCAUCUUUCCCUCAGCCAGUCCUAACAGAAGUCUCUCCAAUCUACCCCUCUGCCAAUUCUUAUGAUACAGCUGGAGAACGGUGGUGACAUGACAGACGACAGCGGUUCUUCCUUGCAAGUGAUGACAUUUGGUGUCAUGCUUGAAUAGCACAGGCCGCAGUCAUCUUUUUCUGCUGUGCAGGAAGAAAUACCGUCUGACAUAGGCACACUCUGUAUGACUCUAGACAUCCUAUUCUUGUCAGGCAGCUGCCAAUAUCGGAUGAAUAUCAGAGGAGCCAGCGCCCGAGAGAGGAAAGACGUGCGGCUACGACGCACCAUGGUCUGGCUCGAGGACCAAGGAGUCCAAAGUGAGAACUAGUUGCAUCAUACUGGAGGAGUACUGUAGGAAAGCACCAGAAAGGAAAUCUAACAUUAGACAGACUUUCUCACUUCUGGUUUGCAGAAAAUGCAACCUCUUUUGAGCUCCUCCUCUGUGGGAAGAUUAGGGAGAACAAAAUUAGGAACUCAAAUCUAUAUGGAAGAACACUCUUUUCCAAUGACCUAGGUAAUGACCUAGUAAUGUCCUAAUACAUUAGCACAUCUUUAUAAUACUAGAAGAAAAAGUCAAAUGUUGUAUAAU